rnacentral:tRNA from 1 species
GCGCCUGUAGCUCAGAUGGAUAGAGUGCUGGACUCCGAAUCCAGAGGUCGUGGGUUCGAAUCCCGCCAGGCGCGCCA